AGCCCCUCGGGCGUGUCUAUCAGUUACAAAGAGCUCUCAAGAACUUUACCCGUCCCUUGCCUGCCAGAUAAGGAACCUGAGGCACAUACAGGCAGACACUGACUUGUGCUAAGGAGGAAAGGUGGAGCCAGGACCCAAAGUCCCAGCACUCCCUACAGCCGGACCUGAGCUCCCCGGAGAGCGGCUUUCUUGGCCCUAAACACUGCCUCACCACCCCACCGACUCUUAGUCAUCCCUGAAGACAGCUCAGUCUCUUCCAGGAGACUGCUCCAGUCCAGGACACACUCAGCAAGGCACCCAGUGGGGACUUAGUAAGCCCCUGUGAGCGCCUGCAUGAAUGAAUGAAUCUCAGAACCCAUAAGUGUGAGCGGGAG